rnacentral:piRNA from 1 species
UGGCUGACUACCCUGCUUACAGCUAG